GUUUUAAUAAUUUAAUUUAAAAUAUUGGUCUUGUAAAUCAAAAAUAAGUGUUUAUCUUUUAAAACU
rnacentral:tRNA from 1 species